rnacentral:rRNA from 1 species
GGUAGGCUUGGUAGGCAAAUCCGCCAAGCUAUUACUGAGAUCUGAUAGCAAGCCAGCUUGCUGGCGAAGUGGCAAAUACCCUGCUUCCAGGAAAAGCUUCUAAGCGAUAGUCAUAAACAAAUCGUACCCGAAACCGACACAGGUGGUCAGGUAGAGAAUACUAAGGCGCUUGAGAGAACUCUGCUGAAGGAACUAGGCAAAAUGGUACCGUAACUUCGGGAGAAGGUACGCUGCCGACGGUGAUUAAACUUGCUUUAUGAGCUGUUGGCAGUCGCAGAUACCAGGCUGCUGCAACUGUUUAUUAAAAACACAGCACUCUGCAAACACGAAAGUGGACGUAUAGGGUGUGAUGCCUGCCCGGUGCUGGAAGGUUAAUUGAUGGGGUUAGCGUAUGCGAAGCUCUUGAUCGAAGCCCCAGUAAACGGCGGCCGUAACUAUAACGGUCCUAAGGUAGCGAAAUUCCUUGUCGGGUAAGUUCCGACCUGCACGAAUGGCAUAAUGAUGGCAGCGCUGUCUCCAGCAGAGACUCAGUGAAAUCGAAAUCGCAGUGAAGAUGCUGUGUACCCGCGGCUAGACGGAAAGACCCCGUGAACCUUUACUACAGCUUUACAUUGAACUUUGACCUAACUUGUGUAGGAUAGGUGGGAGGCUUUGAAGUGUGAACGCCAGUUUGCAUGGAGCCAUCCUUGAAAUACCACCCUGGUUAUGUUGGGGUUCUAACUUAGAUACAACAAUAUCAAGGACAAUGUAUGGUGGGUAGUUUGACUGGGGCGGUCUCCUCCUAAAGAGUAACGGAGGAGUACGAAGGUGCGCUCAGAACGGUCGGAAAUCGUUCAAAGAGUAUAAAGGCAAAAGCGCGCUUAACUGCGAGACCCACAAGUCGAGCAGGUACGAAAGUAGGUCUUAGUGAUCCGGUGGUUCUGUAUGGAAGGGCCAUCGCUCAACGGAUAAAAGGUACUCUGGGGAUAACAGGCUGAUACCGCCCAAGAGUUCAUAUCGACGGCGGUGUUUGGCACCUCGAUGUCGGCUCAUCUCAUCCUGGGGCUGAAGCAGGUCCCAAGGGUAUGGCUGUUCGCCAUUUAAAGAGGUACGCGAGCUGGGUUUAGAACGUCGUGAGACAGUUCGGUCCCUAUCUACCGUGGGCGUUGGAAAUUUGAGAGGAUCUGCUCCUAGUACGAGAGGACCAGAGUGGACGAACCUCUGGUGUUCCGGUUGUUUCGCCAGAAGCAUUGCCGGGUAGCUAUGUUCGGAUGGGAUAACCGCUGAAAGCAUCUAAGCGGGAAGCCCACCUCAAGAUAAGAUUUCCCUAAAGAGCCGUUGUAGACGACGACGUUGAUAGGUUGGGUGUGGAAGCAUGGUGACAUGUGUAGCUAACCAAUACUAAUUGCUCGUUUGGCUUGACCAU